GAGGAGGAGGAGGAAGAGGAAGAGGAGGAGGAGAAAGAGGAAGAGGAGGAGAACUUAAGCCAUGUAGAGGGUAGGCUUAAAAAAAUCCACUGUGUCAUGAGAAGAAUGAAGAAAGAUCUCUAGAGUAGCCUGGAUCUCCGUUUUGGGAGGCAUAGAAACCUGCUGAGGAGAGAUGGAGCCAUCCCCAAGCCUGAGAAGAUGAGCAUAAUUGACUUAUACCAAACACUUCACUGCUCACUGUGGAUGAAAGAUGAACAACCACACAUCUCCUUUCCUUGAAAAGCCCAUGGGGUCAAAGCAGGGGUGAUGAUCCACAUGGAAGUAUUAUCAAGUCUUGGAUCCAGUUCUCUCAGCAAAGCAUAGAGCUGCCACUGAGUUAAUAAAGAAAUAAAAUUCCUAGACAUUACCUCAUGACACAGAGUCCAUGAAAAUGUACCAAGUUUGGUCCUUUCUAGCCAAGUUCGCUUUGGGAGGUGACUAUGCUAUCACACUCAGUCCUUAACGUUUUCCCUACAUUCUCCAGAGGAAUCCCUUGCCUGGGUGCCCUCUGAAUGAGUCACCCGGCAGAGCUACUUCAAAAGGAGAACAGGUUUGAUGACUGGUUUUCUUUUCUGAGUAGGAGGAUUAAGAGUAGUGGCUUGCUUAGCUAUGAAUCAGCAAAAAUAAGGAAAGUACAUAUUGGACCCCGUGCUCCUUCUUAGCCAACCAUGACUUCUGAAGGAGACCAGAGCCCUGGUGGAGAAUAUCACUGGUCCACCAGUCUCAAGACCUCCUCUUGGUUCCACAUGAACCAUAAAUGUACAAAGUCACCAAACUUAAAGGUAUUAAUUUUAUCACUGGUCUGCUGUCUUAGUUAGGGUUCACUAGAGGAACAGAUUUAAUAUAAAAUAUGCAAUCACCACCUGUGCAAUCAAGGGUGAAAAAAUGAAAAAUGGCUGCCUACACUGGAGGCCUGGAGGAUCCAGUUGAAGACUGAAGGCCAAGAGCUCACUGUAGAGUCCAAUAUGAGUCUUUGUUAGAAAUCCAAAGGGUCUACAUUCGAAAGCUGAAGAGUCUGCCCUGGAAGCUUCAAGGAACUAAAGAUGAACAUCCAAAUGGAAUGGCAAAGACUGGAGCUCCUCAAAGAAGAGAAGGAAAGACUUCCUUCUUUUCCUUCUUAUUCUGUGCAGCCUAUAAGCCUGUUGGUUAGUGCUAUGCAUAUCUGUGGUGUGCCUUUCCUCUUUAGUUUGAUCUACUUACCAGUUAUCUUCAGACAUACCCAGAGCUUUACUGAUCUGCUAGGUAUUUCUUACUCAAGCCAAGUUGACGUAACACAAUUAAUGAUCACAUCUACCUUUUGUAGAAAUUGCUGGGAACUGGUAUUUCUUUCCUAACAUACAAGCCUUCCUGUCCUCCCUUACACAUUUUUGCCUAUUCUCCCAUCACCAUGCAUUUAGAGAUAUCCUGGCCUUCUGCUAGUUGUACAAUGUGUAUUUGUCCUUCCUCCAGAGACAUUGUUACAAGAGCCUGACGUCUUGGGAAUGCAUCCCAGAGGUUCUACUUUAAGCUUUUGGGUUCACUUAUGAUGACUCCCUGUGGCUCAGUUUCUGCAUCUAUAAAAUGAAGAUUUACCACCCUUCCCAGAUUCCCAUGGGCUUCCAAUUUAUCAGUGUGCAUCACUGAUCCUAUCUGUACUGUUCCCCACACAGACCAUAUUUGUGGACCACAAGCCUGGCAACCAUGAUAUUUCAGACUCAUUCUGCAUCUGGGCUUAUGUACUUUGUGAAAAGUCAUCAAAUUGUACCUAUUAUUUAUGCCUAUAUACCAUGCUUCAAUAAAGUAUUUACUUAAAA